ACACAGACUUCAAAUAUCUUUGGGAAUUUGUGCUCCUUAUUUACUGAGUGCUUGAGAAGAAAAGACAAAGCCAGUGGAAUGGUCCGAGUGUGGCAUCCGCUGCAUUUAUAAAGAAUAAGAGCUGCAGUGGGUGUGAUUCUUGGACAGAGUGGCACUCAUCCUUGUUCCUGCAAUGAAGGACAUGCCAGCCUCCAGGCUCUUUGACAGAUGAUUGGAACUGUGCAAGUAUUAUGGAAGAUACCCCGUGUCAAGAAGCUGACAGCACACACGUUUGGGAAGGAUUUAGUGGCUGAAGCACUUCUAGAAGACAUCACCAAAAUGAAACAGUCUACUAUCAGCAAAGAAUGCCAGAGCAAGAGUGUGAAACAGAGAGCACAGAGCCGUGAUGCUGCCCCCUGCCGGUGGUGCAGGAGAAAGGACGCAACCUCAGUCUACGACUCCUGCCAAGAUUAUCAGCCACGCUAGAAACUAAAGGGUGAAAACAGGGUUUCUCUGCUGCAAUUCCAUUUCUUCCUCUAGAAACUUGUCGUAGGAAUGACUCCCUGUAACUUCCCACACCUGCCUCUUCUUUCUGUAAGUGUUGGCUAACAGAAUCCCCUCCUUCCUCGGUCCUUGCUAAGUGACUGAAUUCAGAAACUCCUGGACAAUAUUACAACCAUCCGUAUUACUGGUCUUUGGCGCUCUAGACUUAUUUUAGAAAGAAAAAUGUGGCAAAUCAUCCAAGAAUUUUCCUGUGCACAGCAUAGGGAUCUGUUUCUCUUACCAUCAGAAAGGGAUUCAUAGUCAUAAUCAUAUUCGUCCUCCUCAUCUUCCUCUUCCUCAUUAUUGGCAGGUGGGGGGUUGGCAUUCCCACCAUUAUAAGCCUGCGCUUGCAUAGAUGCUAACUGAUGAGCCUGUAAAAUAGCAAUAAUUGUAAACUGCAGAUGCCAAGUUAAUGAAUUCAUUUAUAACCUUUAAAACUACCCCUGAUGUUUAACACAAUCGUUAAAAGUGGCUUAACCUAUUUUGAUACAUUUGGGAGAGGAGAAAAAAAUCUAGAUUCACUCGAAAUGCAAUGUCAACACUUGGGUGAACGUUAGCAUUCCUACAGGAAGAAUCCUGGAGCUUUUAUAAACAAUCUCCAGAAGACUGUGUGCAGUGCCCAGCUAGCCAGGUUCCCAGGACAACCCCUCCAAGAGAAAGCUUUGGUGAUUUGGAGAACCAGCAUCAAUCCCAAGUGACUGAAGAAGUGAAUCACCCAUCAAUUUUUCAGAAGUAUGUCUCUGUUAAGAAACCAUUUUUUCCCCUUCUUAAAAUAAUAUCUACAGGCUCCUGACCUUGAGAACAAUAUUAGAAUCCCUAUGGACAAAGAGGCCAAAAGAAUUGUUGUU
rnacentral:antisense_RNA from 1 species